UGCAGCUUAACUGUAAAAUUGCCUUUGAAACUGGUAGUCUUGAGUACAGUUGAGGUAGGCGGAAUGUGUCAUGUAGCGGUGAAAUGCUUAGAUAUGAUACAGAACACCGAUUGCGAAGGCAGCUUACUAAACUGUAACUGACGCUGAGGCACGAAAGCGUGGGGAGCGAACAGGAUUAGAUACCCUGGUAGUCCACGCCGUAAACGAUGUGCACUAGUUUGGUGGAGAUCUGACUCUCUGCCAGACGCCGAGAAAUCAUUAAGUGCACCGCCUGGGGAGUACGGUCGCAAGGCUAAAACUCAAAGGAAUUGACGGGGGCUCACACAAGCGGUGGAGCAUGUUGCUUAAUUCGAAGCAACGCGAAGAACCUUACCUGGGCUUGACAUGUAUGGAUUAGCUCUUGGAAACAUGAGUGACGCCCUUUGGGUGGAACAUACACAGGUGCUGCAUGGCUGUCGUCAGCUCGUGCUGUGAAGUGUCGGGUUAAGUCCCUUAACGAGCGCAACCCUUAUCGCUAGUUGCCAGCGCGUCAUGGCGGGGACUCUAGCGAGACUGCCGGUGUCAAACCGGAGGAAGGUGGGGAUGACGUCAAGUCCUCAUGGCCUUUAUGGCUUGGGCUGCACACGUCCUACAAUGGCACAUACAGAGGGAAGCAAACUCGCGAGAGCAAGCAAAUCCCACAAAGUGUGCCCCAGUUCGGAUUGCAGGCUGCAACUCGCCUGCAUGAAGCCGGAAUCGCUAGUAAUCGUGGGUCAGCA
rnacentral:rRNA from 1 species